rnacentral:lncRNA from 1 species
CUUCCAACAGCAACACAAUGUGAUCCACCGGCAAGGAAGGACACCAAUGGAAGCUUGGUCACUGAUGAAGAUAUUAAGUAGAUUCGUUAUUGGACUGACCUCAUGAAGACGAGCACCACUGAUGUCAUCUCCAGCUAAUUCAGCUUAGAAGCCCUUUUAAGCACAACACUCCAAUAAUCUGGGCAAUUACUUAGAUGUCCCUGCUACAAGUUCGAACCUUGGCAUCAGCACCAGGGAUGUAGGGACACUACUAUCAGGAUGAUUUGGAUAUCACCACCCUCCUUGUAUAAGAAAACAAUCCUCAUUUUCUCAUAGGGUCAGUAUCAUGAUACAAUACACCUAGAAAGGGGGAUUGCUGUAAGGCCCUGAUGCCUAAGGUUGCAGUCUACCAUGUCCG